rnacentral:rRNA from 1 species
UACGUAGGGGGCUAGCGUUGUCCGGAAUCAUUGGGCGUAAAGCGCGCGUAGGCGGCCCCGUAAGUCCGCUGUGAAAGUCAAAGGCUCAACCUUUGAAAGCCGGUGGAUACUGUGGGGCUAGAGUCCGGAAGAGGCGAGUGGAAUUCCUGGUGUAGCGGUGAAAUGCGCAGAUAUCGGGAAGAACACCCGUGGCGAAGGCGGCUCUCUGGGACGGUACUGACGCUGAGACGCGAAAAGCGUGGGGAGCGAACAGG